AUUUUCCGUCAGAAUGUCCGUCAGAAUUACGAUGUUUUCUUGUAGUGAUUACAAUAGGAAAGCCCUAACAAAAUAUUUACAUAAUAUAAGAGAAUAUCUUAUUGAUAUCAUGAGAGAUACAAGUGUAUCUCUAUAUGCCCCCUCGAGAUGAACGAACAGAAAAAAGUCCUAUCUUGAAAGAAUGUAUGUUCAGUAAGGAGCGAGUGACCAGCUUGGCGAGAGUAUCAGUUAAUUGGUCCUUUAAUGAGACACUAAAAAAAGCUGACUGAGCUAAUUCUCAAAUAUAGUAGUAGUCUAAUACCACAUGGAGUUUUUCAUGCGUGAAUAGAGAAGAAUAGAUGUGUUUCAAAAAAAAAAAAGAAUAGAGAAGAAUAGAUUUAUUAGAGCACUUCCAACAAAAAGUUCUAAAAUGAAAUUCUUAGAAUAAAAAACAAAAAUAGUCAAAAGAUAAGAGAGAGAAUAGAGAAGAGUUCUAAGACUUUUUAGAAUUUUACUCGAACUCCAUGUGAUAUUUGUAGAUUAUUGAUUGGUUGAAUUUGUGUUUUACAAUUAAUUUUUAACUAGAGUUUGAACCGCGCAUCCGCGAGAAUAUUGGUUCUUACGUUUUAUAAAUUGAUAUUUAUUUUUAAUGAUUAGUGUUAUAUAUUUUAGAUGUGUCGCCAUAUAACUAUUUGUAUUCAAAAGAUACGGAUUGAAUCAUGUAAUAUAGUUAUUUAUGGUACAAAUAUUUCGAACCCGUUUCAGAUACAUUUGUUAUUUGCAUAUUUUAGGUUCAUAUACACCAGCACCAAACCAUCUAAACCCAGGAAGACCCAAUUUAAAAUCCACAUAAAUUUAUAAUAUCCAAACGAUGCCUAAUUUCAAAACCUAAAAAAAAUCUGAUACACAAAAGAAACAAUUCAUACCUGAAUGGGUAUCCAAAUGUCCAUGCUUAACUGAUUUUGUAAAUAAAUAAAAAAACUCUUUAUAUGUGUUUGGCUAAAUUAAGAGAAAUAAAAAUAGUUUUUAUCUAGUAAAAUAGUUAUAUGGUGUGAAAAAUUAAGUGAUAAUAUAUGUAAUACAUUUUCAUUAUUUUGAUUUAGGUUUUUAUUUUGUUCACAUAAACUAUGUCUUUGAAUUAUGUGGAUUGGUUACGUAGUUUUUCGCCGAUUGAAACUAAGAUAAUAAAUAGUAAAUUAGACUAAACCGAACUUGUAACCAUAUGCAAAACCCAAUUAUUUUAUAUUUUGAUUGUUAUAAUUGGUACAAAGUUAAUAUUGAUUAACUAAUAAAUAAAAAUCUGUAUUAUUAUUAUUAUUAUUAUGGUAAUAUAAUGAAUGAUGUGAUGUAUCAUUAGUGUAAUCUAUAUAUAUAAAAAACUGUUUGCUUCUCUCACAGGCUUCCACGUUAUCGUCCACAUAGGAAAGUCGCACGUCCUGGAGCCGCCACGUGUCCACUCACGCUAAACGCUCUGUUUCAUUAAGUCUUCGGCGUAGUGGGCUUCGUUCGGGUGUUCUGUGUCUGGGCUUAUCCAUAUCCGGCCCGAAAGCACAGAAGUCACCUCUGUAACCUUAAUCAUCUUCAGACAAGAAACGAAGGUCGCAUCUCCCCAUCCUUCGACGGCGAGUCGAUGUCGUUUCCGCUUUACCUCACCAAAAAGGUCCGAGUUAAGAGCUCGUGUUUAAUCCCAUCAAUUCGCUCCUCCACUACGUCGUCUUCAAUGCUCUGAUUCGAUCUGAAAUGCGGUGAUUUUACAGUAUAAAUAUGUGUGAGAUUUCUCCCUUCUCCAUUUCACUGAUUUGUUGUCGUCGUAUUUUCAAGCACUGGCCGUUACCGGAGUCGGUCUAGAUAUCUCUCCACCGCCGGUUCAAUCUUAGGGGGCAUUGACUCUUCCUUCUAAUUCAGCCCUCUCGGAGCGAGCAGCUUGCUUCUGUGAUUGUUGAUGAGCAGAAGAAGUAAGGCGGAAACGUCUCCGGUGAGACUACAACUACGAGAUUGGUACCUUCUAACGCCAACUCUAAUCUGGAAAACGUAAAACCGAGCCUUGUGAGACAGAUUCAUCUCAGCGUAGUUUCAUUUCCUCCAUGACUUCCAAAUGAGCCUACAAUCUAUGUAUCCUUAUUUUCUCUCAGAAAGUUUCUUCAUUUCCAAGUGUCUUUUGUUUUGAUUUUGAUUUUUUUUGUAUCAGAUAUAUAUCAAAGAGCGAAACUUUCGAGCUCACCAUUUUUUUAACUAUUCAGUUAGAUUUGAUGUUGGUUCAAAUGAACUUAAUUAUAGUUAUGGGUCGCUACUUUUUUUCUUAUAUGAACAGGGUCUUUAGUCUGCUUCACUAGAUUUGGGUUUAUAUAGUGAAUGGAAUCACUCUGUUCUAAAGUUUAUGGUACAAGUAAAAUCUAUCUGGGUUUGAGAGCUAUGAGAUUCUUAGUGUUCUAUCUUUCUCUGAUUCUAAGCGGUGGAAAACAUUAUUUUGGCUCUAAAAAUUCAGAUUCCUGUGUCAAAUUUUCAUGGUACUUGACAAGAUUACAACUUUUCUUACCAUGAAAAGACAUAAAAUUUAUAACUUGCAUUGUUGUUUAUAACUUGCAUUGUUGUUGCUUGCUUUUAUGUUAAUUGUAUAUGCCUUGUGAGCUCAUAGUAGUUAUACAUUUACAGGUUUUUGAUCUUACAGAUGUGAAACACCAUGAUUUUGUAUGUUAAGGUUUGGCGUUUUUGGGACCUUUGCAGCGAAAGGGGAUGAUUGCGCAAGAGAAUGCAGACAAAAGAUGCAGAUCAUGGUAGCAGGUGGUGAUGGUACAAGUGCUCGGGUUCGCCCAUCUCUCCUCCCUAUUUCUCGAAAUAUAUCCAUAAGUAGGUGGCGAUGUCAAUAUACUGUUGACGGAAGUUAUCAGCUGGCAUAACUCCAUGUAUAGUAGUGACAUUCUUCCCCUCUCAAGUGUUUAAUACAAGUCAUCCACCAUGGAGUUUUCUUUAUAAAUAAGCUUUUGAUUGGAAAUGGCUGAAAGUGAUAAGGACCCAGUAAGUACUCUGGGUAAGUAAGUGUAUUCAUAUAAUAAGAGAAUAAACAGCGUGUCAUUGUUGGUUUGUUUCAAAGACGAGAUAAAAAGCCUUACUAGAAGCUUUUAAGACAUUUUCUUCCAUGUAAAAGAAAAAGAAUGUUAUAAGAACCAAUGUCUGUAAAAAAAUCAUCCUUUUAUUAUCAUCAA